rnacentral:rRNA from 1 species
GUGAGGAAUAUUGGUCAAUGGGCGAGAGCCUGAACCAGCCAAGUCGCGUGAAGGAAGACGGCCCUACGGGUUGUAAACUUCUUUUGCAAUGGAAUAAAAAGAGUUACGUGUAAUUCAUUGUAUGUACAUUGCGAAUAAGGAUCGGCUAACUCCGUGCCAGCAGCCGCGGUAAUACGGAGGAUCCGAGCGUUAUCCGGAUUUAUUGGGUUUAAAGGGUGCGUAGGCGGAUUGGAAAGUCAGCGGUGAAAGUUUGCAGCUUAACUGUAAAAUUGCCAUUGAAACUGUCAGUCUUGAGUGCAAAUGAUGUAGGCGGAAUGUGUUGUGUAGCGGUGAAAUGCAUAGAUAUAACACAGAACACCAAUUGCGAAGGCAGCUUACUGGGAUGCAACUGACGCUGAGGCACGAAAGCGUGGGGAUCAAACAGGAUUAGAAACCCCGGUAGUCC